AACGAGAGAUGAGGAGCUUGCUCUUCAAAUCGAGUGGCGAACGGGUGAGUAACGCGUGAGGAACCUGCCUCAAAGAGGGGGACAACAGUUGGAAACGACUGCUAAUACCGCAUAAGCCCACGACCCGGCAUCGGGUUGAGGGAAAAGGAGUGAUCCGCUUUGAGAUGGCCUCGCGUCCGAUUAGGUAGUUGGUGAGGUAACGGCCCACCAAGGCGACGAUCAGUAGCCGGCCUGAGAGGGUGAACGGCCACAUUGGGACUGAGACACGGCCCAAACUCC
rnacentral:rRNA from 1 species